rnacentral:rRNA from 1 species
AGUGGUUCCUACUAAAAGAACCUUUUUGUCGGUUGUAACCCCCCAGAAAAAUAAGGGGUGGACAAGUCUGGUGUCACCCGCCGGGGUAAUACGGCNCCUCGACCCCUCAGGAGGUUAACUGGGCCUAAAGCAUCGGUACCGGGUUAUACAAGUUUCUGUUAAAAUCCAAUGCUCAACAGAUGGGCGGCCGGAGAUACUACAUAGUUAGGGAGCGGGAGAGGCGGNCGGUAUUGGGUGUGUAGGGGAAAAAUCCAAAUUUCCAUCGAGGACCACCAG